rnacentral:tRNA from 1 species
GAGGGUAGAGCUCAGUGGUAGAGUGCGUGCUUAGCAUGCACAAGGUCCUGGGUUCGAUCCCCAGCACCUCCA